UACGUAGGGGGCUAGCGUUGUCCGGAAUCAUUAGGCGUAAAGAGCGUGUAGGCGGCCCGGUAAGUCCGCUGUGAAAGUCGGGGGCUCAACCCUCGAAUGCCGGUGGAUACUGUCGGGCUAGAGUCCGGAAGAGGCGAGUGGAAUUCCUGGUGUGAGCGGUGAAAUGCGCAGAGUAUCAGGAGGAACACCAGUGGCGAAGGCGCCGCCUCUGGGCCGUGACUGACGCUGAGGAAGCGAAAGCGUGGGUAGCAAACAGG
rnacentral:rRNA from 1 species